GACGAACGCUGGCGGCGUGCUUAACACAUGCAAGUCGAACGGAAAGGCCCUGCUUUUGUGGGGUGCUCGAGUGGCGAACGGGUGAGUAACACGUGAGUAACCUGCCCUUGACUUUGGGAUAACUUCAGGAAACUGGGGCUACUACCGUAUAGGAGCUCCUGCUGCAUGGUGGGGGUUGGAAAGUUUCGGCGGGUGGGGAUGGACUCGCGGCUUAUCAGCUUGUUGGUGGGGUAGUGGCUUACCAAGGCAUUGACGGGUAGCCGGCCUGAGAGGGUGACCGGGCACAUUGGGACUGAGGUACGGCCCAGAGUCCUACGGGAGGCAGCAGUGGGGAAUAUUGCACAAUGGGCGGAAGCCGGAUGCAGCAACGCCGCGUGCGUGAUGACGGCCUUCGGGGUGUAAACCGCUUUCGCCUGUGACGAAGCGUGAGUGACGGUAAUGGGUAAAGAAGCACCGGCUAACUACGUG
rnacentral:rRNA from 1 species